UAACAAAAAAUCGAUUUUUCGUAUGGUUUUUUUUAUGAAAUCUGCCUAAAAUCUGAUGACUGAUAGCAGUGUACCUAUGGAAUUGAGAAAACCCAGUUGCAUCUCCCAGUAUUUUGUAGCACUGUAUUUUUCGAGUCCAAUCAGACAACUUACUAAUGUGGAGCUAAUUGAUUGAAAACUUAGUACUACUACUUCAAGUUCAAUUAUGAUAGGCUUUUCAUUAGGAGCGAAUGGUUGGACAAAUCUAACGCUUCAAAUGGAAAUUGAAAGUUUUUCUUUUGAAAUCGGAUAAAUCUAAUAAAGUGGAUCAUUAAUUUGUAAGAUCGCAAUUUUGAUACAAAUAAUGUGAAUAUAUCUACAAAGCCACGUAAUAACAAAUGAAAAAACAUCAAACGUGCUAAUUCAACUUUAAUUUCAGCCUACAAUGUUGUGUCACGUAGUGCAAAUACAGAUUACAAAAUGCUUGGGAUUGGGAAAAUAGAUUGAAGUCGAUAUAUUUUUCUCAUCUAACAAUAAGAAUACACUGUGAAUUGUGAAUAUGUGUCCAUUCAAAGUGUGAUAUAUCAUGUAGAGGUGUGCUGUUCUUAAGUAUGUGAAAUAAUACGGGCAUAUCGGUAUCGAAAAAAAAAAAUAUUAAACCAUCACCAGAUCAGCUCCAAAACCAAGUAUAACAAAUAGUUUUCAAACUCGCCAAACCCCAGCAAAGACUACAAAAUCGACAAACCAUUCACCAAAAUUUUCUGUUACUUGUUAAAAACUUCAACGAGUGGAAAAUCGAAAUAGAUAAAUGUCAAAAUUCGACUGUUUGUAUGUGAACGAAAAUAGUGAAUAAUCCAAAUCUUCUCGACAUGGUGUUUCGUAUCAGCAAAAUUUUCAUCUAGUUUAUUAGGAAAUCAUAUCUUGUUUUACUGUUGGAAGCAGGUGAUCCUGAAUGUUUCCAUGUAAAAAUGAUUAACAAGCUAACAACUCUAAUUUAUAUCUAUUUUAUUGCUGAUGUUACGGACAAUAAUUAGAAACAAUGCUAUUUAUUUUGUAAAUAAAUGAUUUGUAGAUAGCCUCGUGUGGUUUCACAGUGAUGAUAUAAAGUAAAAGCAACGCCGCUCUUAUUCUUGGGCCCUGUAUUGCAAUAAUAGACAACAAUGUCACCCGGCGCUGGCUGCAACGUCACGGAUGCUGGACAGUGCGGAGGCGUGUCAAAGGUCGAGGGGGUUGCGAUCCAGGGACUGCUGGAAAUAUUGGUUCCGCAGCUAAGUACAGAUCUUUCCUAAACGUGAGC